AGUGAAUAUUAGGACAUCGCUUCGGCGAGUUCGACCCUCCACUUUUCAACUCUGUGCAUUUAUUGGCGGAAUCGAGCGAGCAAUCGUGAAGUUCUGCGUCUCAUUUUUAAACACUAGUCAAAGUAUGUAACGAAAUAUCGAAAUAAAAAAAAAACUUUCAACAACGGAUCUCUUGGCUCUCGCAUCGAUGAAGAACGCAGCGAAAUGUGAUAAGUAAUGUGAAUUGCAGAAUUCAGUGAAUCAUCGAAUCUUUGAACGCACCUUGCGCUCCCUGGUAUUCCGGGGAGCAUGUCUGUUUGAGUGUCAUGAACUCUUCAACCCGCCAGUUUCUUGUAGACUGAUUGGUGUUUGGAUUUUGAGCGCUGCUGGUCUUCGGAUCUAGCUCGUUCGUAAUAUAUUAGCAUCUCUAAUUCGACUUCGGAUUGACUCAGUGUAAUAGACUAUUCGCUGAGGACACACCUAGUGUGGCCGAACGUUGAUCUCAGUAGAAGCUUCCAACUAUUGUAGUCAAUUUUAGAUUAGACCUCAGAUCAGGCAGGAUUACCCGCUGAACUUAA
rnacentral:rRNA from 1 species